CCUACGGGUGGCUGCAGUGGGGAAUCUUGCGCAAUGGGCGAAAGCCUGACGCAGCCAUGCCGCGUGAAUGAUGAAGGUCUUAGGAUUGUAAAAUUCUUUCAGCGGGGACGAUAAUGACGGUACCCGCAGAAGAAGCCCCGGCUAACUUCGUGCCAGCAGCCGCGGUAAUACGAAGGGGGCUAGCGUUGCUCGGAAUUACUGGGCGUAAAGGGCGCGUAGGCGGGUUUUUAAGUCAGGGGUGAAAUCCCGGGGCUCAACCUCGGAACUGCCUUUGAUACUGGAAAUCUUGAGUCCGGGAGAGGUGAGUGGAACUCCGAGUGUAGAGGUGAAAUUCGUAGAUAUUCGGAAGAACACCAGUGGCGAAGGCGGCUCACUGGCCCGGUACUGACGCUGAGGCGCGAAAGCGUGGGGAGCAAACAGGAUUAGAUACCCUUGUAGUC
rnacentral:rRNA from 1 species